UAGGUGGUGGGGGCCAGGCUGUUUGGGGAGGGACAGCCUUCCUUACCGGCCCUCCAUGCAGUUUUGCAACUCCAAUGUGGCCCUAGGGCCACAAAGUUUGUCCACCCCUGCCUUACACACUAUUGUAAUAAUCUGUGCACAAAAUAUGCCUUGUGAGGUAUCAUCUGAAAACUAAUAACUUACUGGUUAAAAGUAUCAUGGCUGACAAUAUCAACAGUAUAUGUAAAAUUAUGAAUUACUUGGAAUGAUGUUACUAGCACUUGUUCAAAACCAGACAGUAAAAAUGUUAAACAGCUCUAUCCUAAACAAAGGAGUGUGGGUUUACCUCAGUUUACACAUAAACAGUAAACGGAACAAUCAAACUAAUGGGGAGGGAAGAGUGGAGAUGGCAAGAAACAAAACAAUAUACAUUUUAGCAAACACUAGUGCAGGAAGAAAGAACAUGGAGCUUCCUUCACCACCAGAGUCCAUGUCAUCUUCCACGUUGCUUGAAUAAACUUUACUUUAAGGGGUAACUAGAAGAAUCCAUACUAUUCUAGAAAGGAAAGGGCAGAAUACCCCAAGGUAUGUCUUUCAUCUAAGAAAACAAAGGAACCUGCACUUUGGGCUGCUGGAGGAGAUCCCGAGGAGAGGGAAGAAGGAGUCAGACACUAUUUUGCCUGAAGACUUAAUUGGGAAAGCCAUCUUGAACAAAGCCUGUACCUUGCUAGAUUAAGUUUUAGACCUUUACUAAUGUGUGUGUUCACCUUUUAUUUGCUUGUAACCAUUUCUAACUUUAUCUCUUAUACUUGAACUCACUUAAAAUCCUGUCUUCUUUUGUUAGUAAACUAGUUUUACUUUUAAUCUAACCCAGGGAUCUGAAACAUGCAGCAGGCCUGUGGAGCUAUUUCCUGCGGCCCGCCAUAGGCGCUGACUUUCCCCCCUCUGCUCUUCCCCCCGAGUGCGCCAUGUCCCCGCUCCUCCACCUACCUCCCAGUGCUUCCCACCCCCGAACAGCCAUUUGGCAGCAUUUAGGAUUUUCCAGGAGGGAGGGGGAGGAGCAGGGAUGCGGCACACUCAGGGGAGGAGGCAGAGAAGAGGCGGGGAUGGGAUUUGGGGAUGGGGUUGGAAUAGGAGCAGGGAGGGUGAGCAUGAGCUGUAUGUUGUUCUGGUUUGUGCAUCAUCAACAAAACUUUUGAUUAUGAGUCUUAUCCAACUCCCAUUGAAGUCAAUGACAUUCUUUCCAUUGUUUUCAGUGGGAGUUAGACAAGACCUUACGUUCCAGUUGCAGAAUAUAGUGCUGAUAAAGAAGCAUAAGUGAGAAAGAAUGCUACCUGACUGAAAUUACGAAGAUCAAAUAGACCUUUUAUGCCUCUGAAUGUUGCCGGAGAGGGAUGGACAUUGCAGAGCACAUGAGUUCAAGAAAGCUCAGGACUGGAGGAAGUUGCCAUCCUGCCUCCUGAUUCCUUUGUACAAGCCCAAAUGUCUAAUAAGCACAAGACACUGAAGGAGGGGCAGAAGCCUGGUGUAUAGGGGAGGACCGUGUCUUACCACUGGGAAGAAAGAGAGUGGUUGGGAGCCCAGGUGCUCACCUCCCCAGAAUCAUUCCUCUGCUGGAAAUCCCCAUCAUACACAACCUGUACAGGAGAAUGGUCCAAGGAGGUACCACCAAUGUAACUCCACUGAGCACAUGAGAAAUAAGUGCCCUAAGAUAAACUAAGCUCACACCCCUCCAACGCAGGUUAAUGCAACUUUCAUUAACAUAGAGGAACAUGAGGGGCCGCUGAUUAAUUUUGUGAGGCCUGAGCCUGAGGAAGUGGACCUGGAGUUUAUCAAGGUUGCCAAUAUGAAUUGCAAGGAAUGGGUAGCCUCAAGGGACAUUGGAGUACAAAUUUCUCAGGUCAAGGAAAGCAUAUUCAGAAAAACUGGCAUGUUACCUGACCAGGAGGUAGAGCUGGCAUUAGAGAAAUAUUAAAUAGCUGUACCUCUGUAACCCAUAGAAGAGAAUUGUGCAGACAAAGGAGCAGCUUUGUGAGCAGGGGACAGCCCCAGCUGGGCAAGAGGAAGCAAAGUGCUUUCAGAUGUGGGAGGCAUUGAAGCCAGUUCCUGCAUAGCAAAGGAAAGUAGAAUCCUCUGAGACUGGGGGAGGGGGAAUUAAUCCCUGCUACUGAAGAAUCUGUCUCAGUUGUCAGCUGCUAGCAUUUUGCAGAUGAACCAAGGGAACCCCAGUGAGGAGAAAUGGAGAAUGUACAAGUAAGCUCAUGGUGGAAAAGUAAAAUCGCUGGGAAACCUUACAAGUGGCUGAUUGUGCCUGCCCAGCACUGUGGGGAAUUAAUCUUGCUAACACAUGAUUUUCCUUUUACUGGUCACUUAGAGCCAUGAAAAUCUAUGAGCCGUUUUUAAAAAAAAUUUACUGGCCAGGGUACAGAAUGAGGGGAAAGAUUAUUGUAGGUAUUGUGAAUUAUAUCAAAAAAGACCUGCAGGACUGCAGAAAGUUCCUCUUUGCCUUUUGCCUGCAAUACGAGAGGUGUUUUAUAGGGUAGCAAUGGGCAUUGUGGGUCCUAUGCUACACCCCACCAAAGGGGGAAGAAAUAUAUCCUAGUGGUAAUGGAUUUUGCCAUCGAUAUCCCAAAGCAGUUGCUCUGUUGACAUAAAGCCUGUUUCUGUGGUAAAAAGCCCUUUUCAUUAUUUUUAGCAGAGUGGGUUUUCUUAAAAAUAUUUGAUCAGAUCAUUAGUCAUAUUUCAUGUCUCCGCUAUUCAGUGACUUAUGGAAGUUGUGUGUGGGAUAAAACAACUAAAAGCUGCCCCAUAUCACCUAGAGACAAAUGGUGUGGUGGAGAGGUUCAGUGGGACACUGAAAUCAAUUCUGAGGAUGUAUGCCCGCAGGUGGGACUAAGAUUAGGACGAAAUGUUACACUAUUCGUUGUUAAUAAGGAAUUGCCCCAAGAAUCUGUAGUUUGGCCCAUUUGAUCUUCUAUACAGAGGGAAAGUGAGGGGACUUCUAGCUCUUACCAGAGACUGUUGGGAAGGAGAUACUGAGACAGAAAGGUAGCCUAUAACUGAAUAUGUACAAAGGUCCAAGCAAGAGUUAAAGGACAUGCUGGAAGUGGUUCAGAGUCAUCUUUUGUUUGGCCUGACUGUCCCUGUGGUAUGGCAUGACCAAUAUAUUUGUAAAUGCUCUUUGAAGUAGGAGACUUAGUGUUGUUACUUAUCCCUGAAAAAAAUGCAAAACUCAUGGAUGGGACCUUUUGAAAUGAUAGAAGAGGUAACUGAAUGUACACAUGCAAAAGACCUCACAGUAAUGCUGCCAUGCAGAUGGUGCAUGUAAACAGAUUUAAAGUUGAUCACAAGAGAGAAGCCAUGGUAAACAUAAUAUGUUGUGUAGAGGGGGAAACUGAGGCAAACUUCAUUGAUUUGAUGGCUGAAUGCCAAACUGGCUCAUCUCUGGAAAAGCCUCAAUAACUACAGUGAGUUACUAUAAGUUCAGAAAGCAGAGGUGUUAUCUGUACUUCAAGCAUACAGACAAGUGUUUUCUAACAAGCCAGGGAAGACUCACUUACUGACUCAUAAGAUCAUUACUGUAGGAUCACAGCCACUUCCCAGCAGGGCCUACUGUACCACUGGCAAGGUACAAGAGCAAACUUGCACAGAGAUGAAGAGCAUGUUGGACCUGGGAGUGAUUACAAAGUUUGACUGCUCUUGGGCAUCACCUGUGGUCUUUGUUACUAAGACAGACAACACUGUAAGGUUUUCGGUUGAGUAUAGGAAACUCAGUGCUGUCAUGGUGCCAGAUGCUUAUCCUAUGCCUAGAAUUGAUGAUAUGCUGGAUAUCUUAAGAAAAGUUAACUAUAGCAGUUUUUUUUUAUUUAAAGGAUACUAGAAAAUUCUUCAGAUAAUGCUCCGAAAAAAUCUGCUUUUAUUAGUGAUGUGGGACUGUAUGAGUUUUAAAUGGAUUACAGGACUUCGCAAGGGCCUGUGUCCACAGUAUAGCGAUGACAAAACCUCUCACUGAUCUGAAUUGCACCCAAAGUGUGACAACAGACAACUCUUAAAGGAAAACCUUCUUUCAUCAGAGCCUUCUAGAUCUGUGCAAAAAUAAAAUCAUAUACCAGCAGUUUGGUAAUGUGUGAACAACAUAUGGGUUAUUUGAAUGCACUGUUUUAUAGUUCAGAUCUUCUUUUUUUAUUCUGUUAGGUUUUUUUUUUAAAUAUGACAUUUCCUACUUAUUAAAGAUGUAAUUUUGUCUUCUAAAAUAUGCAUGCUUAGCUGGGGAAAUUUAGUUCAGCCGGGCUUGUUGAGAGGUAUCUAAGCUGUCUUCCUAUGGUAUAGAUUUUAGAUAUGCUCCCUUCCCUUGUUUGCUUUGCUGUGGAUUUUAAAACUAUUUUCACAAUUAAAAAUAUACAAAAUC